rnacentral:rRNA from 1 species
GACGAACGCUGGCGGCGUGCCUAAUACAUGCAAGUAGGACGCACAGUCUAUACCGUAGCUUGCUACACCAUAGGCUGUGAGUUGCGAACGGGUGAGUAACGCGUAGGUAACCUGCCUAUUAGAGGGGGAUAACUAUUGGAAACGAUAGCUAAUACCGCAUAACAGUAUGUAACACAUGUUAGAUGCUUGAAAGAUGCAAUUGCAUCGCUAGUAGAUGGACCUGCGUUGUAUUAGCUAGUAGGUAGGGUAAUGGCCUACCUAGGCGACGAUACAUAGCCGACCGGAGAGGGUGAUCGGCCACCCUGGGACUGAGACACGGCCCAGACUCCUACGGUAGGCAGCAGUAGGGAAUCUUCGGCAAUGGGGGGAACCCUGACCGAGCAACGCCGCGUGAGUGAAGAAGGUUUUCGGAUCGUAAAGCUCUGUUGUUAAGGAAGAACGAGUGUGAGAAUGGAAAGUUCAUACUGUGACGGUACUUAACCAGAAAGGGACGGCUAACUACGUG